GAAGUUCAAAACAACUACUCUACUUCGGUAAUCGAAGCUUUCUCAAAGAUGACCCGACAAUGUCAGCCGAAGGUAGAAUUAUGUUCUUACUAUCAAUGGUGUUGGUCAUCUGUUUAUCAACUUGUCAUAUUGUGAAAAGGAAAGCCUCAGAUGAUUAUCUCUACGUAUAUUCUGAUCGGCAAACCUGUGAGUCUGUACAAAGCCAAGCGCCUUGUACAGUAUCCUGGAAAUUGAAUUCCUACCUGGCAAAAGGCUAUAAGCAACAAAAUGAACUAAUAGCAUCAAUGAUCCAGUUAUACAAGACUGCUGGGUAUGACAGUAUCUGCAUACAUGCCUUGCAAAAAACUUUAUGUUCCCAAGCAAUCCCAAAAUGUUCCGCGGUAGAUGGCACUCGCGAUUACGGGAAUGCACAGAGACU